UACAGAGGUGGCAAGCGUUGUUCGGAAUUACUGGGCGUAAAGGGCGCGUAGGCGGCCUUCUAAGUCAGACGUGAAAUCCCCCGGCUUAACCUGGGAACUGCGUCUGAUACUGGGAGGCUUGAGUAUGGGAGAGGGAUGUAGAAUUCCAGGUGUAGCGGUGAAAUGCGUAGAUAUCUGGAGGAAGACCGGUGGCGAAGGCGGCAUCCUGGACCAUAACUGACGCUGAGGCGCGAAAGCUAGGGGAGCAAACGGG
rnacentral:rRNA from 1 species